rnacentral:rRNA from 1 species
GCUGGCGGCAUGCCUUACACAUGCAAGUCGAACGGUAACAGGUCUUCGGAUGCUGACGAGUGGCGAACGGGUGAGUAAUACAUCGGAACGUGCCCGAUCGUGGGGGAUAACGGAGCGAAAGCUUUGCUAAUACCGCAUACGAUCUACGGAUGAAAGCAGGGGACCGCAAGGCCUUGCGCGGACGGAGCGGCCGAUGGCAGAUUAGGUAGUUGGUGGGAUAAAAGCUUACCAAGCCGACGAUCUGUAGCUGGUCUGAGAGGACGACCAGCCACACUGGGACUGAGACACGGCCCAGACUCCUACGGGAGGCAGCAGUGGGGAAUUUUGGACAAUGGGCGAAAGCCUGAUCCAGCCAUGCCGCGUGCAGGAUGAAGGCCUUCGGGUUGUAAACUGCUUUUGUACGGAACGAAAAAGCUCUUUCUAAUAAAGGGGGCUCAUGACGGUACCGUAAGAAUAAGCACCGGCUAACUACGUGCCAGCAGCCGCGGUAAUACGUAGGGUGCAAGCGUUAAUCGGAAUUACUGGGCGUAAAGCGUGCGCAGGCGGUUAUGCAAGACAGAUGUGAAAUCCCCGGGCUCAACCUGGGAACUGCAUUUGUGACUGCAUAGCUAGAGUACGGUAGAGGGGGAUGGAAUUCCGCGUGUAGCAGUGAAAUGCGUAGAUAUGCGGAGGAACACCGAUGGCGAAGGCAAUCCCCNGNAACCUGUAC